rnacentral:rRNA from 1 species
CAGUCGCCGCGGUAAUACGGAGGGUGCAAGCGUUAAUCGGAAUUACUGGGCGUAAAGCGCACGCAGGCGGUCUGACAAGUCAGAUGUGAAAUCCCCGGGCUUAACCUGGGAACUGCAUUUGAAACUGUCAGGCUGGAGUCUUGUAGAGGGGGGUGGAAUUCCAGGUGUAGCGGUGAAAUGCGUAGAGAUCUGGAGGAAUACCGGUGGCGAAGGCGGCCCCCUGGACAAAGACUGACGCUCAGGUGCGAAAGCGUGGGGAGCAAACAGGAUUAGAUACCCGUGUAGUCCUGUCUCUUAUACA